rnacentral:rRNA from 1 species
UACAGAGGGGGCAAGCGUUGUUCGGAUUUACUGGGCGUAAAGGGCGCGUAGGCGGCCUUCUAAGUCGGACGUGAAAUCCCCGGGCUCAACCCGGGAACUGCGUCCGAUACUGGAAGGCUUGAAUCCGGGAGAGGGAUGCGGAAUUCCCGGUGUAGCAGUGAAAUGCGUAGAGAUCGGGAGGAACAUCUGUGGCGAAGGCGGCCAUCUGGACCAGCACUGACACUGAGGCACGAAAGCGUGGGGAGCAAACAGG